ACCAUCUACUAGGGGUGUCCAAUUAGCUGGACUGAGAGAAGAACGCGCCUGAAGUUCUUCAACCCUUUGAACCUGAUCUGGAUGAUGCCAGCGUAGGGAAGUAGGUAGCGGGAGUA
rnacentral:ncRNA from 1 species